rnacentral:rRNA from 1 species
UGGGGAAUAUUGGACAAUGGGCGAAAGCCUGAUCCAGCCAUGCCGCGUGUGUGAAGAAGGUCUUCGGAUUGUAAAGCACUUUAAGUUGGGAGGAAGGGCAGUAAGCGAAUACCUUGCUGUUUUGACGUUACCGACAGAAUAAGCACCGGCUAACUCUGUGCCAGCAGCCGCGGUAAUACAGAGGCUGCAAGCGUUAAUCGGAAUUACUGGGCGUAAAGCGCGCGUAGGUGGUUCGUUAAGUUGAAUGUGAAAGCCCCGGGCUCAACCUGGGAACUGCAUCCAAAACUGGCGGGCUAGAGUAGGGCAGAGGGUGGUGGAAUUUCCUGUGUAGCGGUGAAAUGCGUAGAUAUAGGAAGGAACACCAGUGGCGGAGGCGACCACCUGGGCUCAUACUGACACUGAGGUGCGAAAGCGUGGGGAGCAAACAGG